UUGAACCAGAGGCAGUGAAAUGUGAAUUGAAAUCACUUACUUUGGCCAUAAAGUUAAUCAACAAAGUAUACACACAUGGAGACACUCAAAUACACUAAGAACAAAUAUGGGAAAGGUCAAAGUAACCCCAUAUAUUUGAUAAACGUAAUAACAACCUGAAGCGAAAGCUUCAAAAAGGUUGUUUUAAUGGGUUGCUGCCAAACAUCAUAUCUAAUGCGUUUUUGGUUUAUUUAUGCCAACCAUUCUUAUUGUAGCUCCACAGGCGAAAAAAUCGGUGGAAAUGCCAACACAGGUGCACGGAGAGUGCCGAUAGGCUGGAAAAUCCGGAAAACUCACGCCUACACUUUCAUUGCCAGCAUCGCGUUGCCUUUUCGCUGUCGAGAUUCGCAUAAUUUCCACUUUUCGGUCGCGCUCAACACUACCUAAAUUAUUGUUUAUUUUUUUCCCAACAAAACAACUGUGAGGUGAGACUGUGAGACCAGACCAGCUGUGGGCGGGUCAGUGUGACCCUAUCGCGGUGUGGUGAAAAUCCCAGUGCGCUGCGCUGUUAAGGCUCUAUGACACGAAAGCAUGUUGAAAAUAAACUUUUUCAAAAUUAAUUUAUUCCUUAGAUCUAAUUGAAUAUUUACAAAUUAGCAAUAUAUAUAAUAUAAAACUAGCUCGGAUGACCAAAGAAUAUAAUAGUCUUAUUGUUUGUGAAUACUUUGCAAUAUACUUUGUAAUACUAAUUUUAGUGUUUGUUAAAAAUAUUACUUACCUGAAAUUAAAAUCCAAAUAUUU